rnacentral:rRNA from 1 species
UCGCUCCUACCGAUUUCGAGUGAUCCGGUGAACCUUUUGGACCGCGUGUAGCCUUGUGCUAUGUGUGGAAAAUCAAGUAAACCACAUCACUUAGAGGAAGGAG